CAUUGCCUGGCUGCAAGGCUGCCUGGAACAUCCUGAAGGGUACAUAAGUGGCUGAGCUGGAGAAUUCUAGAGGAGUACACAUCUGUGAAUGGGAAGUCUCAGCACUGGUCUUUGAACUUGAGCUGUUGUACUGUGAAGUCCCAUGUCCAAAGGAAGUAUUUCAGAUACAGGAAUAUUCACUAAAGACUCAGAGCUAGAGGAUUAGGAGCAGAUGAAACUAAUUGGGAAGGUAGGAGACAUCUGAUGGAGAACCUGCAGCUGCAUGCAGGAGAGAGGAACCAGUUGGCAGCUGGGAUGCACUGUCACAGUCACCACCAGUUUCAGCUGGGGCUCCACAGAGAUACAGAUGCAGGCACUGGACCAGCUGUUCACUGUGGCCAAGGAGCACCUGGUAGACUCAUGGGCCUGGUGCGUGGAGGAAGUUGCCUGUGAGGAGGCAAGGGACUGGCAUG